rnacentral:rRNA from 1 species
UGAUUCGUCACACUAUCAUUAACUGAAUCCAUAGGUUAAUGAGGCGAACCGGGGGAACUGAAACAUCUAAGUACCCCGAGGAAAAGAAAUCAACCGAGAUUCCCCCAGUAGCGGCGAGCGAACGGGGAGGAGCCCAGAGCCUGAAUCAGCAUGUGUGUUAGUGGAAGCGUCUGGAAAGGCGCGCGAUACAGGGUGACAGCCCCGUACACAAAAGCGCAUGUGCUGUGAGCUCGAUGAGUAGGGCGGGACACGUGGUAUCCUGUCUGAAUAUGGGGGGACCAUCCUCCAAGGCUAAAUACUCCUGACUGACCGAUAGUGAACCAGUACCGUGAGGGAAAGGCGAAAAGAACCCCGGCGAGGGGAGUGAAAAAGAACCUGAAACCGUGUACGUACAAGCAGUGGGAGCACCCUUUGGGUGUGACUGCGUACCUUUUGUAUAAUGGGUCAGCGACUUAUAUUCUGUAGCAAGGUUAACCGAAUAGGGGAGCCGGAGGGAAACCGAGUCUUAACCGGGCGUUAAGUUGCAGGGUAUAGACCCGAAACCCGGUGAUCUAGCCAUGGGCAGGUUGAAGGUUGGGUAACACUAACUGGAGGACCGAACCGACUAAUGUUGAAAAAUUAGCGGAUGACCUGUGGCUGGGGGUGAAAGGCCAAUCAAACCGGGAGAUAGCUGGUUCUCCCCGAAAGCUAUUUAGGUAGCGCCUCGUGAAUUCAUCUCCGGGGGUAGAGCACUGUUUCGGCUAGGGGGCCAUCCCGGCUUACCAACCCGAUGCAAACUGCGAAUACCGGAGAAUGUUAUCACGGGAGACACACGGCGGGUGCUAACGUCCGUCGUGAAGAGGGAAACAACCCAGACCGCCAGCUAAGGUCCCAAAGUCAUGGUUAAGUGGGAAACGAUGUGGGAAGGCCCAGACAGCCAGGAUGUUGGCUUAGAAGCAGCCAUCAUUUAAAGAAAGCGUAAUAGCUCACUGGUCGAGUCGGCCUGCGCGGAAGAUGUAACGGGGCUAAACCAUGCACCGAAGCUGCGGCAGCGACACU